rnacentral:snoRNA from 1 species
AAAGCAGGCUGCAAUUACAGUGCUUCAUUCUGUGGGAGUACUGCUGAGAGUAACUCUGUUAACGCUGUCUUUGGUUUCACCUAUACAGUGGUGAAACCAUUUGUUCUUAACAUGUACAAGU